rnacentral:rRNA from 1 species
GACGAACGCUGGCGGCGUGCUUAACACAUGCAAGUCGAACGUGAUUUUUGUGGAAAUUCUUUCGGGAAUGGAAAUGAACUGAAAGUGGCGAACGGGUGAGUAACACGUGAGCAACCUACCUUACACAGGGGGAUAGCCGUUGGAAACGACGAUUAAUACCGCAUGAGACCACAGAAUCGCAUGAUAUAGGGGUCAAAGAUUUAUCGGUGUAAGAAGGGCUCGCGUCUGAUUAGCUAGUUGGAAGGGUAAAGGCCUACCAAGGCGACGAUCAGUAGCCGGUCUGAGAGGAUGAGCGGCCACAUUGGAGCUGAGACACGGUCCAAACUCCUACGGGAGGCAGCAGUGGGGAAUAUUGCACAAUGGGGGGAACCCUGAUGCAGCGACGCCGCGUGAGCGAAGAAGGUUGUCGAAUCGUAAAGCUCUGUGCUAUGAGAAGAUAAUGACGGUAUCAUAGGAGGAAGCCCCGGCUAAAUACGUG